CCUACGGGUGGCAGCAGUGGGGGAUAUUGCACAAUGGGGGAAACCCUGAUGCAGCGACGCCGCGUGGGUGAAGAAGUAUUUCGGUAUGUAAAGCCCUAUCAGCAGGGAAGAAAGAAGACGGUACCUGACUAAGAAGCCUCGGCUAACUACGUGCCAGCAGCCGCGGUAAUCCGUAGGGGGCGAGCGUUAGCCGGAUUCACUGGGUGUAAAGGGAGCGUAGACGGCCGUGCAAGCCAGGAGUGAAAGCCCGGGGCCCAACCCCGGGACUGCUCUUGGAACUGUGCGGCUGGAGUGCGGGAGGGGCAGGCGGAAUUCCUGGUGUAGCGGUGAAAUGCGUAGAUAUCAGGAGGAACACCGGCGGCGAAGGCGGCCUGCUGGACCGCGACUGACGUUGAGGCUCGAAAGCGUGGGGAGCGAACAGGAUUAGAUACCCCGGUAGUC
rnacentral:rRNA from 1 species